UCGAGAAUUUUUCUCAAUGGGGGAAACCCUGAAGGAGCGACGCCGCGUGGAGGAUGAAGGUCUUCGGAUUGUAAACUCCUGUCAUUUGGGAACAAGUUGCAGCGAUUAACUGUCGUUGCAUUGAUAGUACCAGAAGAGGAAGAGACGGCUAACUCUGUGCCAGCAGCCGCGGUAAUACAGAGGUCUCAAGCGUUGUUCGGAUUCAUUGGGCGUAAAGGGUGCGUAGGUGGCGGGGUAAGUCUGGUGUGAA
rnacentral:rRNA from 1 species